rnacentral:rRNA from 1 species
UGGGGAAUCUUGCGCAAUGGGCGAAAGCCUGACGCAGCCAUGCCGCGUGAAUGAUGAAGGUCUUAGGAUUGUAAAAUUCUUUCACCGGGGACGAUAAUGACGGUACCCGGAGAAGAAGCCCCGGCUAACUUCGUGCCAGCAGCCGCGGUAAUACGAAGGGGGCUAGCGUUGCUCGGAGUUACUGGGCGUAAAGGGAGCGUAGGCGGACAUUUAAGUCAGGGGUGAAAUCCCGGGGCUCAACCUCGGAGUUGCCUUUGAUACUGGGUUUCUUGAGUAUGAGAGAGGUGUGUGGAACUCCGAGUGUAGAGGUGAAAUUCGUAGAUAUUCGGAAGAACACCAGUGGCGAAGGCGACACACUGGCUCAUUACUGACGCUGAGGCUCGAAAGCGUGGGGAGCAAACA